CCUACGGGUGGCAGCAGUGGGGAAUAUUGGACAAUGGGCGAAAGCCUGAUCCAGCCAUGCCGCGUGUGUGAAGAAGGCCUUCGGGUUGUAAAGCACUUUCAGUGGGGAAGAAAGCCUUGGGGCUAAUACCCUCGAGGAAGGACAUCACCCACAGAAGAAGCACCGGCUAACUCCGUGCCAGCAGCCGCGGUAAUACGGAGGGUGCGAGCGUUAAUCGGAAUUACUGGGCGUAAAGCGCGCGUAGGCGGUCUGAUAAGCCGGUUGUGAAAGCCCCGGGCUCAACCUGGGAACGGCAUCCGGAACUGUCAGGCUAGAGUGCAGGAGAGGAAGGUAGAAUUCCCGGUGUAGCGGUGAAAUGCGUAGAGAUCGGGAGGAAUACCAGGGGCGAAGGCGGCCUUCUGGACUGACACUGACGCUGAGGUGCGAAAGGGUGGGUAGCAAACAGGAUUAGAUACCCGGGUAGUC
rnacentral:rRNA from 1 species